GAUCCAGCUUGGAAAUCAGCUGAGGGUUACCAGGCCUUCGCAUGUGCGAAGUGUUAACCCGGUAUGGAACGAAGAGCAUAUGUUUGUUGCAUCUGAACCGUUUGAGGAUCUGAUUAUUGUGACUGUUGAAGAUAGGAUUAGACCUGGCAAGGAUGAGAUUUUAGGAAGAGAAUUGAUACCAGUUAGAAAUGUGCCACAAAGACAUGAGACCACUAAGCUCCCAGAUCCUCGAUGGUUCAACCUUCACAAACCUUCGUUGUCAGCAGAGGAAGGCGCUGAAAAGAACAAGGAAAAAUUCUCAAGCAAGAUUCUAAUUAGCUUCUGUUUGGAAGCAGGUUACCAUGUUUUUGAUGAAUCCACACAUUUUAGCAGUGACCUGCAGACCUCAUCGAAGAGCCUGAGGAAGGGUAGCAUUGGGACUCUUGAGCUUGGCAUUUUGAGUGCAAAGAAUUUGAUGCAAAUGAAGAGCAAGGAUGGUAAACUGACUGAUGCAUAUUGCGUGGCCAAGUACGGGAACAAAUGGAUUCGAACCAGAACAAUCCUUGACACACUGGCUCCUAGAUGGAAUGAGCAGUAUACUUGGGAUGUUUAUGAUCCGUGUACUGUAAUCACAAUUGGAGUAUUUGACAAUUGCUACGUCAAUGGAAGCAAAGAUGACGCGAAAGAUCAGAGAAUCGGAAAGGUGAGAAUUCGAUUAUCAACUUUAGAAACCGAUCGUAUAUACACCCAUUACUAUCCCUUGUUGCUACUCACGCCUUCUGGUUUGAAGAAUAAUGGGGAACUUCAUUUGGCUUUAAGGUUUACGUGUACAGCUUGGGUAAACAUGGUGACAAAAUAUGGAAGGCCGUUGCUUCCCAAAAUGCAUUAUGUCCAACCAAUACCUUUUAUACUCAUUGAUAGGCUACGGCAUCAAGCAAUGCAGAUAGUUGCAGCAGGGCUGGGAAGAGCAGAGCCGCCACUGAGACGCGAGGUAAUGGAGUACAUGCUGGAUGUGGAUUACCAUAUGUGGAGUUUGAGGAAAUGCAAAGCCAAUUUUCAAAGAAUUGUGGAACUUCUUUCAGCUAUUUGUAGAUGGUUCAAUGACAUAUGCACAUGGAGAAACCCAGUGGAGACAGCCCUUCUUCAUGUAUUGUUCUUGACACUCGUUUUCUACCCUGAGUUGAUACUGCCAACAAUUUUCCUGUACCUCUUCCUAAUUGGGAUGUGGAACUAUCGGUUGAGGCCAAGGCACCCACCUCACGUGGAUGCUAAGCUCUCGCAAGCAAUAAAUGCACACCUAGAUGAGCUAGUCAAAGAAUUUGAUACGUCAGAUGAGCUAGAUGAAGAAUUUGAUUCGUUUCCAACAUCACGACCAUCAGACACCGUCCGGAUGAGAUAUGAAAGGCUACGCAGUGUGGGAGGUCAGUUGCAGACAAUGGUUGGAGAUUUGGCCUCGCAAGUCGAAAGAGCUCAAGCGAUCCUCUGCUGGCGUGAUCUAAGAGCUACGUUUAUCUUUCUCAUCUUCUCAUUUAUUUGGGCAGUGUUUAGUUAUGUUACUCCAUUCGAGGUGGUGGCAGUUCUGAUUGGCCUUUACAUGCUGCGCCAUCCCCGGUUCAGGAGCAAGAUGCCUUCAGUACCUGUCAACUUCUUCAAAAGUUUUCCGUCCAAGUCAGAUAUGCUGAUAUAAGAUGGAAACUUUCUCAGUACAUUCAUUCUUGUAGAUGUGAGUAAGGAAAAAUCCUUCCACGAAAUAAAUCCAUCUAAAUCAUAGCAGCGGACGGAAAAAUAACAUCGGUGAUGCUCUUCCUCCCCUACCCGCAAAAGCAUUUAAUCCCAGCAUUUUCUCAGACCCCAUCAAUCUUAUUUCGCUUUAUAUCUACGUGUAUUUAUGCAGCUUGUAUGCACUUCUAUUGUGGUACUUUACUAUCUAAGUAGUAAGAUCACCUAAUAAAAGAAUAGCUUGCCAGUAUUAAGCAAUUCGAAAUUUUUUAUAAAUAAUAUAUAAAUAUCAAACAAAAAACAAGGCAAUUAAGAUCAUAGAAAAUGAUUAGCAGCAUCAACCAUAUGAAAUCACGCCAUCCAUGGAGAUCAAUUUUAUCAGUGAACUUAUAUUCAAAAUUGGUUACACACACGCUUCAUAAAACAACUCCAUACAAGAAAGUUACAUUUAUUUAUAUUUUAAAAAAAAUUCAUUUGGUUGACAAUGUUCUAAAUCCUAUGUUUAUAAGCAGGGCUACAAUUAUCAAGAAACUAACAAGCAUUCCACCCAGAAGAGCCCUAUCCACAAAACCCCACUCGCCCGUAUUCCCUCCCAUCCAUACCUACUUUUUCUUGGAUCCCAAGGGAAAAUCAUUUUCCACUCCUUUCAAGUGGUUCUUCCACUUCCUUAGCAACCAUCCAAUAACAUUUUGGCUGUUUAUAUCUUCUGCAAAUCUUUCAAUCCAGGAAACUUGGCCUUCCUCCAAAGUAAUUUUUCCUUCACAGCAUUCCAAUCCACAAGCACUAGGAUCUGGCUCAUUUGAACAUGCACAAGGUUCAUUUUGGCUAGAGUAGGGAGAACAUUUGUCCUGACCAACCUGACUAGAUAUUCUCUUGUGUGACGCUAUUUUAUCAUUUCCUUGGCUGAGAAUUUUGAUAACUUCUCCAAACACAGACCACUUUCCAACAGAUGUUAUCUUCACCAAAGCUGAGGUACCCAGCAUAUUUUCUGUGCUAAGUACAAGUAUCUACACAUAUCCCUUGGUUUGCCCAACCUUAGACAAAAAGGGAAUAUGAAGUUAGAUCGAAGUCAUUAAAUACUAUAACAAAAGAGUUGAUUAAAUAAUAUUUGUUUUAUCGAAUUAUCAGGCUGCUUUGGUUCAACUAUCAUAAGAUUACUACGAGUAUAGAUGUACAAAGAGGAGACACCACUACUAUCGGUAACAGACGUUGGAAAACCUCUGGAAGCCAAAAUCCAGUGGCAACCACUGAGGUCGUUUGAGGCUUUUUGUUCGUUAAAUAAGUCGGGGAUGAGUCUCAGAUGUGGCCACGCGGAUUCCCUUAGUUAUAUUUUCUCUCGGGCUGAGCAGGGAAGACAAGAUCGCGUGGUUGAUGCGUUUGGAAUUUGUCCAAACCAUAGGGCUCUCGCGAUAGUUUCCCUAGCUAGAAUCCUCUUUGGGCUUCACUUACUUUUUUACUUUAGAUACCCAAACCCAAAUCAUGGGCUUCUGUCUAAGCAUUGAAUGUCUUCUGGUCCAUAAGGUGACUUUGCGGUAUGUUUUGUUCGGUGCCCUGAACUCAAAAGGGUAUGGACUAUUGGACUGUAAUUAAAAUACAAAUCCAUGUUUGGUACUAAAACUAAAAUCGCGUGAUUUGAGAAAAGAAAAUGACCAUUUCAUCCAUAUACUCUCACAAUUCAAUAAUGCAGCAAACUAAAUACACCAUAGUGUUUAUUUUUCGGAAUGACACUUAAUGCACCCCGACACGUACACACAUCCUUUCAAAAUUACAAAUUAAACGCACCCUUCUUUUAAUUUUUAAUUUUUCAUCCCUUUAUUAUUUUCUCAUCUAAAUUGGUUCACUUGCGGAGGAUUUUUUUUUUAAUUUUUGAAUCAAAUUGAAGAAUAUGCAUGCGGAAGGAAAUCAAAAGGACAAAGGCAAAAGUGGGAGAUCCAUAUAAAUUCUAGUAUCUACUUGUGGUGAAGUCACAGUCACCGUAUUAUGCAAAAAGCCGGCGUGUGCUGUGACGUGUGGAUUUGAUGCCACAAACAAAAUUUGAAAAAGCGGAGGCCCAAUAAUGCUACACACCUUUAUCAGUGGAUUCCAUUCCAUUUUUUUUAUCCAUCCAUCCAAUAUUAUUUAUUUAUAAUUCGUCAUAUUAUAUUAUAGUUUUGCCGAUGAAAUGAUUUCACUUUGUUGGGUUGCGUUGGGAACUCGCUGUCUUUAUUCACCCACCGCCAUCAUGGUCUCAAAGAAAACAAUACGGGGUUAAUUAAGAAAAUUGCAAAUUACUCAAUUAUUUUGGGGGAAAAGUUAGGUUUACGCAUGUACCAUAACUUCUAUAGAAAGAUAUUUUAUUCCACCAUGUCCAGACAACCAUAAGCAUAUUGUUUGAAUGAUCCCAGCUAAAUACAUCCUUCAGUUCUGUUGUUUAGUGAGUAGUUUAUGCUCUUCAACACAACAGGACCACUUUAAUAUAAAAUAACAAAAAUACAAGACAAUGUAGUAGUAGUAGUAGUAGUAGUAGUUAGUUCUUGUCUUCUUGAAUUGGAUAUUUUAUAUAAACAAAAUAGAAUAUGCAUACUGCAUACACCGUCAUAUAAGUCCAUCAUUUCAAGUCAAUUUUACACAUUUGGUAGGAGGAGUGUAAUAUUAUUAUUAUUAUUUUUUGGUGAUAUGAAUAAUGUUCGAUACUUAUCAUGUAUUAUAAUUUAUUAAAUUUCUUAACAUUAAGUAUGCAUGAAAGGGAAAGGCUAACAUUAGUAUGCAUGAAAAGGAAAGGCUAACAUCUGCGUCCACUUUGUGACCCAAAAAAAAAAAUUAAACUACUACAUUAAUUGUAACUAUUCCAGCGUAUACAGGGCCUUAACAAAUUUGUGAUAAUGGAGUUGGGACAGUAGCCGACUCUACAAUUACCAUUUAUACGUAAUAGUCAAUGUAAUGUUGCCUCUAUUAAGAUUAACCAUCUCCUCUGGAUUCUCUAAUUAUCAAAUACUCGCUUGAAGCAACUAGCAAUAGAGCGAGUGGAAGUGCUCUAAUCAACAAAUAUGAAACGGUUGCGUAGCUGCCUCUCCAUUUCCUUUAGCGGUCAAAAUCUCAUCACUAAAAAUCGUGGAAGCAACCUUCUAUUUACCGCCAGACUACUCGGUGCGCUUCGACAAACUUCCAAAGAAUUUAUGGACCAUGCUUUUGCAAUUUACUGAAAUACCCUUCCAUCUCCCAUCAACACUUGUGGUUCAUUCACUUGUUAUUAUUCUCAUCAAUGAUUGAUUGUAUAUGCAGUAUAAGGGUGAUAUAGUUUUUUAAAUAGAAUAUAUUUAAUUAGAGUUUUUGUUAAUAGAGUUUUUAUAAAUAAAAAUUUUAUUUAUAAAAAUUUAGUUUUUUGGUUGUAUAAAAUUAUUUUAAUAAGCAUGUUAUUUAAAGUUAUGUUAUGAAGUGAAUAAAAUAAUAUUAUGAAAUAAGUAAAAGACAUUUUAAGUAUUUUAAUAUUUUGAAAAGUUUUUCAAUCUCUAUUUUUAAAAGUAUAAAAUUUGAGUUUUUUUUUUUAGUAGAGGCAAAAUAACAUAUUUUAUUUUCAAAAGCUCUAGUGAAAAGACAAUCAAACCACAACCCAAAAAAAAAAAAAAAAAAUUUGAGAGGAGAUUAUAAAAUUAAAUAAACGAUUAUAACUAUUGGAUAAACUACACCAAACACACACUAACUCUUAUAAUUGAUAAAGUGCAAGAAACAAAGGAAAUACUAAUUAUGAUUACAACCUUGUUUUAAGACCAAAAAUGUAUUUUCAAAUUAUAGUUUUGUUACAAAAUUUUAUUAGUUCUUUUUGGGUUAGAAGCAUCUCAGCAAUAUGCAAUGUGCUAGAUCAACUUUAUUCAUAGGAAAAGGCCACUAUGAAAAAGUUGGGGACCCCUUUAUUUGGACUUUUGGUCCAUAUAUUGUAAAAUAAUGCAACCCACAAAAUAAGAAUCCUCCCAAUGAAGCAAAAGAAAUAAAUAAACAAAACAUAGCUCCUAAGCGAAUUUCAGUGAUCCUAUAUGUAUUAUUACUUGAAAGUCGGUGCUAGUUAGUUGAUUGAAAGGGGAAAAAACAAAAACACAAAUGUCAUUUAAACAUAGAGUUGAGCCUCCAUCCCUUCAAAAUUCACAUGAAAUCCUACUUUUUAUAUUUACAAUUUUUUUUAAAAUUACAAAAAAGAUUAAAAAAUUACAAUAUAGUUUUAAUUGAUUUUACAAUCAUCUAGAAUAAAGUAAUUGAAUUAUAAAUAUAUUUUUUUCAAUAAAAAAACUUAGUAUUAGGUGACUUAUUUCUUCAUUGAUUCAAAAUAUAACUUAUUUAUUAAAAAAAUAAUUAUAUUUGUUAAAUUUUAAAGAUAGUUGAGAUUCAUGAUUUAUAAAUAAUUUAAAUUUAAUUAAAUUUAUAAUAGUUCUUUUAUGUAUUUUUCUCUCAUUAAACAACUAAGAUUGUAAAAAUGGAGUUUUUUUUUUUUUUAAGAUAUUAAAGGGGUGCGAAAAACAUUAUUGAUAAGGGUCUUGAGUGUAUGUUAACCACAUCCGUUGACAUUUAGGAAUGGGUUCAGAAUUCUAUGUGAAAGCUGCCGAUUAGUGAUUAGAUUAUUAAUGGGUUUAAGGUGUGUUUGCUUCUGUCGAGCUUGAUCAGUCGCUCAGUAAAAAAUCUUAAAUUUUUAUUAUUUUUUAGUAAUAUUUGCAAUAGCCUAAGUUAUAAUUACGCUGUCGGGCGUCUGAGGUGGAUCAGCUUCACCGACAGGUCAAAUAUUGUUGGUGAUCAUCGAUUGAAUUGAAGGCCGAACUGUAGCUGAAACAUCACUCAAUCAACUUCGUGUACAAGAUAAUAUUUAAUGGCUCUCAACUAACUGAUGAAAUUCAAUGCCGCCAGCAUCUGAUUGUAGUAACCAGUGGGUGCUGCUACCAUUGAAUUUCUAUUAUCAUCCCUUCAAGAGAAAUUGUACAGAGCAGCACAGCUACAUGCAGAAUUCAAAUAGUUGGCCUCUCUCAGUUCAUAUUGGAAAUCAAAUCAAAUAUGAAAUUCAAAAGGCAGGCAAAAGAAAAGUCUAUCCGUCACACGGGGGAAAAAAAAAAUUAUGAAAUUUCUCAAACUUUUAAAACAAAGGAGUACUAAUGAAAUUUUUUGGAGUUAGACCGGACCACAUCCACGUUUGGUAUUAAUAAUGGAUGUGCAUCUGCUUAAUUCCUUGAAAAGGAGAGAUCCUUCUAAAAGGGGAUUGAAGAUUGCUUUUGGACAAACUUUUAUGUAUUCUUCUUGAUUCAUGAAUGAAGUGGUCAUGAUUUUUGAUUCAUUUUCACCUCACCCCCAACCCAUAAUAAUAAUAAUAAUAAUAAUAAUAAUAAAAAUAAAUAAAUAAAUAAAAUUACAUUUCUUCUCUUCCACAUAAACAUCAACUAUAUAUCAAGCCCCAGCGCAGCACCCACUUAAAUAUUGCAUUCAUAUCUAUAAUCAGUCUCUCUCUUAUUAUUUAUUAACAAACAAGUGUGCCCACCAGAAUCAGUUUCUAUCAAAGAUAUAUGAAUGAAUUGUGGGGUCACCAAAUGACAUGUUUCACUCUCUUUCUAACAUAUGUUUCUGUCUUCAUACUCCAAAAUUCAAAUUGAACAAAACAUCUCAAUUUCAUCAUCACCCUUUUCUUCUUUUCUCUACCUGUCUCUCUCUUCCUCUUCCACCACCACCACCACCAUUACCAUUUCUAUCUUCUUCUUUACUCCUACAGUCCUACUUUUUCUCUACAUACCUGUAGCAAUCCAUCUUCCCUUCAAUAGAUAUAUAUGUGUAUAUAUAUAUUUUUCACUAGAACAAAUUGAAGAAGAAAGAAUAAGAUCCUCAUACUAUUCAUCAGACCCAUGGCCAGAGUGGUAGUAGAAGUUGUUGAUGCAAGUGACCUCACACCCAACCAUGGACAAGGAUCUGCUAGUCCCUUUGUUGAAGUAGACUUGGAUGAUCAGAAACAAAGAACUCAAACCAAGCCUAAAGACGUCAAUCCUUACUGGAAUGAAAAGCUUGCUUUCAACAUUAACGAUCUCAGAGAUCUUCCCAACAAGACCAUUGAUGUAACUGUUUUCAAUGAUCUCAAAGGCAGCCACGAUCGUGAUCACCACAAGAACUUUCUCGGACGUGUCAGAAUUUCAGGUGUUUCUGUCCCUUUUUCGGAGUCAGAAGCCAAUGUUCAGCGAUACCCUCUUGACAAACGCGGCCUUUUCUCUCGUGUCAAUGGUGAUAUUGCCCUCAAGAUAUACGCACACCCACUUCAUGAUGCCUCUCACUUUACAACUCCACCAACCAACGCUACUACCACUGCCAGUAGUCUUGAGACCGAAGAAACCCCACUCCAAGAAAUCAACACCAACAAGUUUGGCGAUCAUGAUGUUAAAUUAAUGUUUGAUCACGAGAAGAUCAAAAAGAAAAAGAAGGAAAAAGAAGUAAGGACUUUUCACUCAAUAGGGACGGCAGCUGGGGGUCCUGGUCCGGCUCCUGCUGCUCCGCCACCGGUGUCAUCCACGUUUGGUUUUGAGACUCAUCAAAAGCCUCCAGUGGCUGAGACGAGAAUGGAUUUUGCCAAAGCUGCUGCGCCAACACCAUCUGUAAUGCAAAUGCAAAUGCCAAAGACGAACCCAGAAUUCCUUCUGGUGGAGACUAGUCCGCCGGUAGCAGCGCGUCUGCGAUACAGAGGAGGAGACAAGACAGCAAGUACUUACGAUUUGGUGGAGCUGAUGCAUUAUUUAUACGUGGAUGUGGUUAAGGCAAGAAAUCUGCCUGUAAUGGAUGUUUCAGGGAGCCUUGACCCUUACGUUGAAGUGAAGCUUGGAAACUACAAAGGCAUCACCAAACACUUGGAGAAGAACCAAAACCCGGUAUGGCAUCAAAUUUUUGCCUUCUCUAAGGAAAGAUUGCAAUCCAAUUUGGUUGAAGUUACUGUCAAAGACAAGGAUAUUGGGAAAGAUGAUUUUGUGGGGAGAGUUACUUUUGAUCUAUUCGAAGUCCCUCAUCGUGUUCCGCCUGAUAGUCCAUUGGCUCCUCAAUGGUAUAGAUUGGAGGACAGAAAGGGUGAUAAAAUUACUAAAGGGGAAAUAAUGCUUGCUGUUUGGAUCGGGACACAAGCUGAUGAGUCUUUUGCUGCGGCCUGGCACUCUGAUGCACACAACAUCAGCCAGAAAAAUUUAGCUAACACCAGAUCAAAGGUUUACUUCUCACCCAAGCUUUAUUAUCUUCGGGUUUUUGUAUUUGAAGCACAAGAUCUUGUUCCUUCUGACAAAGGGCGAGCACCAGAUGCUUGUGUAAGGAUUCAGCUUGGAAAUCAGCUGAGGGUUACCAGGCCUUCGCCUGUGCGAACUGUUAACCCGGUAUGGAACGAAGAGCAUAUGCUUGUUGCAUCUGAACCUUUUGAGGAUCUGAUUAUUGUGACUGUUGAAGAUAGGAUUGGACCUGGCAAGGAUGAGAUUUUAGGAAGAGAAUUCAUACCAGUUAGAAAUGUGCCACAUAGACAUGAGACCGGUAAGCUCCCAGAUCCUCGAUGGUUUAACCUUCACAAACCUUCGUUGGCAGCAGAGGAAGGUGCUGAAAAGAAGAAGGAGAAAUUCUCAAGCAAGAUUCUAAUUCGCUUCUGUUUGGAAGCAGGUUACCAUGUUCUUGAUGAAUCCACACAUUUUAGCAGUGACCUACAGCCCUCGGCGAGGAG
rnacentral:lncRNA from 1 species